rnacentral:lncRNA from 1 species
UGCGAAGGGGAUGGCACAAGAGGGGCUUGCUCUCCAUAUAUCAAGAUUAAUGGCAAGAAAUCAAGAGUUAGCUCUGAUUAAGUAAGCGCUUAAAAGAGAAAUGAUGAUUAGCAUUUUUUUCCCUUAUCCUUGCUUGCGAGACGAAGUGGUAAAGAGUUGCACACGGGUGAGACACGGUGAGCCAUGCUUCUCCUUACAAAUGUGACAAUCUUACGUGGGGGCAAUGAGUUUUGUGGCAAUUUCACUUGCUAGCACAAAACCCAGCAAAAACUACGUAAAACUUUUCAUCAGCUUUUCAGAAUCUUGGGAGGCCAGGAAACAUGGGUGGCAUAGCUGGCUGCUCCACUAAAAAACAGGAACAUAAUCUGGAUUUAUCUUUUCUUUGGGGCCCAUUGCAUCUCCUAUUUGCUCUCUCUCUGCGUUUGCUUUUCGUUUUUUUCAAGAUUUUGAAGACAAAUUCGUAGUUAUAGUGGUGGGCUCCGCUGGGUACGGUGUUAGUGUGAAUGAAGAGAUGGAGGUAGACGAGCUGAAGGUCUUCCACAAGAUCCAUUCACAUGUACAGGCUAGAGAGUCCUGGUAGCUCUUAUCUACUUUUCUUACACAAUAAUUUAGGAGAGAGAUGCAGACAGAUCACAUCACUUGGGUUGGUGAUUUCGGAGCUCUAGUGCCUUAAAAGCAUGGUAGCUUUGGUAGGUGGUGGCAUCAAAUAUUACUUUGAAUAUUGGCUAUGCAGUUGAACUAUACAAUAAUUUACAUGUUUUGUCCAUGGAGGAAUUGUCUCGGCAUGAUAAAAAUAGUGUUCCCACUUUAAAAUUAAAAUUAUGAUCU